rnacentral:rRNA from 1 species
CCUACGGGUGGCAGCAGUGGGGAAUAUUGCACAAUGGGCGCAAGCCUGAUGCAGCCAUGCCGCGUGUGUGAAGAAGGCCUUCGGGUUGUAAAGCACUUUCAGCGGGGAGGAAGGCGUUAAGGUUAAUAACCUUGUCGAUUGACGUUACCCGCAGAAGAAGCACCGGCUAACUCCGUGCCAGCAGCCGCGGUAAUACGGAGGGUGCAAGCGUUAAUCGGAAUUACUGGGCGUAAAGCGCACGCAGGCGGUCUGUCAAGUCGGAUGUGAAAUCCCCGGGCUCAACCUGGGAACUGCAUUCGAACUGGCAGGCUAGAGUCUUGUAGAGGGGGGUAGAAUUCCAGGUGUAGCGGUGAAAUGCGUAGAGAUCUGGAGGAAUACCGGUGGCGAAGGCGGCCCCCUGGACAAAGACUGACGCUCAGGCGCGAAAGCGUGGGGAGCAAACAGGAUUAGAUACCCUAGUAGUC